rnacentral:rRNA from 1 species
ACUCCUACGGGAGGCAGCAGUAGGGAAUCUUCCACAAUGGACGAAAGUCUGAUGGAGCAACGCCGCGUGAGUGAAGAAGGUUUUCGGAUCGUAAAACUCUGUUGUUGGAGAAGAACGUAUUUGAUAGUAACUGAUCAGGUAGUGACGGUAUCCAACCAGAAAGCCACGG